GCUGGUAGUGGUGUCCCAAUCAUAAGAUCAAUCUGCAGUCUGUCACUUGUAAUAUGUUCAAAUUCCUUCUUAUAAAGUGGUUGCUGCAGAAAUCCAGGCUGGAGAAAAAAAGGUUUCAACUGCUCCUGUAAGCCGACCAGUUUUGUCUGUGUUGACUUCCUCAAGGCAGAGCUGAUUCCAGUAUUGCAAAUCACUCUAAUCAAAGUUACUAGCUCUCAAUACAUCCUUAAUACGGAUUUCCUGUGUCCAUUUCCCUGCUCAACCAAAAACAUGGCCGUCCGGAUCGUAAAGGGCAACAUAUUAUACCAUGUUGCUCUCUGGCGUCAUUCUCAAUGUCUGGACUAAUACUCAUAUCUGGGGUGAAAUAUGUAUUGAAGUGCCACCUGUCUCCCCAAUGAAAAUGUCCCUGUCUAAUGCAAUCCGAAUGCAGGAAC